CAAAGGGGUGCCCCACCGGACGGGCUGAGAUUAUACCCUACGAACCUGAUGCGGUUAAUACCGACGAAGGGAUUGUUGAUU
rnacentral:ncRNA from 1 species